rnacentral:rRNA from 1 species
GAUGAACGCUGGCGGCGUGCCUAAUACAUGCAAGUCGAGCGAAUGGAUUGAGAGCUUGCUCUUAUGAAGUUAGCGGCGGACGGGUGAGUAACACGUGGGUAACCUGCCCAUAAGACUGGGAUAACUCCGGGAAACCGGGGCUAAUACCGGAUAACAUUUUGAACCGCAUGGUUCGAAAUUGAAAGGCGGCUUCGGCUGUCACUUAUGGAUGGACCCGCGUCGCAUUAGCUAGUUGGUGAGGUAACGGCUCACCAAGGCAACGAUGCGUAGCCGACCUGAGAGGGUGAUCGGCCACCCUGGGACUGAGAAACGGCCCAGACUCCUACGGGAGGCAGCAGUAGGGAAUCUUCCGCAAUGGACGAAAGUCUGACGGAGCAACGCCGCGUGAGCGAUGAAGGCUUUCGGGUCGUAAAACUCUGUUGUUAGGGAAGAACAAGUGCUAGUUGAAUAAGCUGGCACCUUGACGGUACCUAACCAGAAAGCCACGGCUAACUACGUGCCAGCCGCCGCCGUAA